rnacentral:rRNA from 1 species
AAAAGUCAAGCUACUAAGGGCAUACGGUGGAUGCCUUGGCACUAAGAGCCGAUGAAGGACGCGGUAAGCUGCGAAAAGCCACGGGGAACUGCAAGCAAGUCUUGAUCCGUGGAUGUCCGAAUGGGGAAACCCGGCCAUCGUCAUGGAUGGUCACCCGCAAGGGAGGGAACCUGGGGAACUGAAACAUCUAAGUACCCGGAGGAAGAGAAAUCAAACGAGAUGCCCACAGUAGCGGCGAGCGAAGAGGGCAGAGCCCAAACCGAGAAGCUCCGGCUUUUCGGGGUUGAGGACCGGCAGAAUCGAAGUCAGGCCUAGUCGAAUUACCUGGAAAGGUAAGCCAGAGAGGGUAAAAGCCCCGUAGACGAAAGGCAGAGCAGAGAGGCCGAGAUCCAGAGUACCACGAAGCACGAGGAAUUUUGUGGGAAGUCGGGGGGACCACCCUCCAAGGCUAAAACACUUCUUAGCGACCGAUAGCGCAUAGUACCGUGAGGGAAAGGUGAAAAGAACCCCGGUGAAAUAGUACCUGAAACCGUAUGUCUACAAGCAGUCGAAGCGAAAGCGACGGCGUGCCUAUUGAAGAAUGAACCGACGAGUUACUGUUGCUAGCGAGGUUAAGUGGAAAACAUGGAGCCGCAGCGAAAGCGAGUCUGAACAGGGCGUUCAGUUAGUAAUAGUAGACCCGAAACCGUAGUGAUCUAUCCAUGGCCAGGUUGAAGCACAGGUAAAAUUGUGUGGAGGACCGAACUCGUGAGCGUUGAAAAGCUUUGGGAUGAAUCGUGGAUAGCGGUGAAAUUCAAUCGAACGCGGAGAUAGCUGGUUCUCCCCGAAAUAGCUUUAGGGCUAGCCUCGAGGUUGAGAGUAUAGGCGGUAGAGCACUGAUCGGGCUAGGGGCCAUACCGGUUACCGAACCUAGUCAAACUCGAAUGGAUAUACUGUAGAGCCUUGAGUCAGACUGCGAGUGCUAAGAUCCGUAGUCGAAAGGGAAACAGCCCAGACCACCAGCUAAGGUCCCAAAAUAUAUGUUAAGUGGAAAAGGAUGUGGAGUUUCCAAAACAACCAGGAUGUUGGCUUAGAAGCAGCCACCAUUUAAAGAGUGCGUAAUAGCUCACUGGUCGAGAGACUCUGCGCCGAAGAUGUCCGGGGCUAAAGUACGAAACCGAAGCUGUGGCUGUAUACGUAAAGUAUACGGGGUAGAGCGUUCCCAUAGGGUAGAAGUCGAACUGGAAGGUUCGGUGGACUUGUGGGAAGUGAGAAUGCCGGUAUGAGUAGCGAAAGACAGGUGAGAAUCCUGUCCACCGAAAGCCUAAGGGUUCCUGAGCAACGAUCGUCGUCUCAGGGUAAGUCGGGACCUAAGCCGAGGCAUGGAGCGUAGGAGAUGGACAACUGGUUGAUAUUCCAGUACCGGCAGCAAUCGUUUGAACGAUGGAGUGACACAGAAGGGCAGGCAAGCAUGCGAAUGGAAGAGCAUGUGUAAGCGUGCAGGCUGGUGCACAGGCAAAUCCGUGUACUGAGGCUGAGGCGUGAUGCGGAGUGAGCAGAGAUGCGAGCGAAGUUGUUGACCCCACACUGUCGAGAAAAGCUUCUAGUGAGAGAGCUGCCGCCCGUACCGUAAACCGACACAGGUAUGCGGGAGAGAAUCUAAGGUGCGCGGGAAAACUCUCGUUAAGGAACUCGGCAAAAUGGCCCCGUAACUUCGGGAGAAGGGUAGCCACUGUUGUGAAGUCCCAUGCGGAUGGAGCCUAGUGUGGUCGCAGAGAAGAGGCGCAAGCGACUGUUUACCACAAACACAGGUGCCUGCUAAAGCGAAAGCUGAUGUAUAGGUGCUGACACCUGCCCGGUGCUGGAAGGUUAAGGAAGGAUGUUCGGGUUCGACCCAAAGCAUUUGACUGAAGCCCCAGUAAACGGCGGCCGUAACUAUAACGGUCCUAAGGUAGCGAAAUUCCUUGUCGGGUAAGUUCCGACCCGCACGAAAGGUGUAACGACUUGCGCACUGUCUCAACGAGGGACCCGGUGAAAUUGAAGUACCUGUGAAGAUGCAGGUUACCCGCGACUGGACAGAAAGACCCCAUGGAGCUUUACUGCAACCUGACAUUGGGUUUUGAUACAUUACGUACAGGAUAGGUGGGAGGCAUGGAAAGCUGGACGCUAGUCUGGCUGGAGCCGCCGUUGGGAUACCACCCUUGAUGUAUUGAAAUUCUAACCGCGAGAGUAACGAAAUCCGGGACAGUGUCAGGCGGGCAGUUUGACUGGGGCGGUCGCCUCCUAAAGAGUAACGGAGGCGCCCAAAGGUUCCCAGCGCGGCCGGAAAUCGUUCGACGAGUGUAAAGGCAGAAGGGAGCUUGACUGCGAGACGGACAGGUCGAGCAGGGACGAAAGUCGGGCUUAGUGAUCCGGUGGUGCCGAGUGGAAGGGCCAUCGCUCAACGGAUAAAAGCUACCCUGGGGAUAACAGGCUAAUCUCUCCCAAGAGUCCAUAUCGACGGGGAGGUUUGGCACCUCGAUGUCGGCUCAUCACAUCCUGGGGCUGAAGUCGGUCCCAAGGGUUGGGCUGUUCGCCCAUUAAAGUGGUACGUGAGCUGGGUUCAGAACGUCGUGAGACAGUUCGGUCCCUAUCCAUCGCGGGCGCAAGAGAUUUGAAGGGGGCUGCUCCUAGUACGAGAGGACCGGAGUGGACGAACCGCUGGUGUACCAAUUAUCCCGCCAGGGGUACAGUUGGGUAGCUACGUUCGGAAAGGAUAAACGCUGAAAGCAUCUAAGCGUGAAACCAGCCUUAAGAUGAGAUCUCUCAUAGAGCAAUCUAGUAAGACACCUUAAAGAAGAUGAGGUUGAUAGGUCGGGAGUGUAAGUACAGCAAUGUAUUGAGCGGACCGAUACUAAUAUGUCGAGGGCUUGACUUA